CCGUAGCUCAGUCUGGAUAGAGCACUAGCCUCCGAAGCUAGGGGCCAAGGGUUCGAAUCCCUUCGGGC
rnacentral:tRNA from 1 species